rnacentral:rRNA from 1 species
UACAGAGGGGGCAAGCGUUGUUCGGAAUUACUGGGCGUAAAGGGCGCGUAGGCGGCCUUCUAAGUCAGACGUGAAAUCCCCCGGCUUAACCUGGGAACUGCGUCUGAUACUGGAGGGCUUGAGUGCGGGAGAGGGAUGUGGAAUUCCAGGUGUAGCGGUGAAAUGCGUAGAUAUCUGGAGGAACACCGGUGGCGAAGGCGACUCUUUGGUCUGUAACUGACGCUGAGGCGCGAAAGCGUGGGGAGCAAACAGG